AGAGCGGGCAGGGAGUCACCACUUACUGCUGGAAACGAAGGGAAAGCCCGCGUGUGAGAACAGUAAUGGCUGCACCGUUAGCAAAAAGGAAAAGCAAAAGCAGAGCGGGAUAAGCGCCCUGCAGAUCCAAUCUUGUUGAUUCCUUGGCACAGCCCUUCGCUGACCCCUGAAGUUCGUGCAGAGGUGAGGAAUGGGUGCCCUGUGUCAAAGGUCUGUGCUGUGGCUGCCCUCAGCACUGUGCCCUCUGCUCAGUGCCCCAACCGUGCAGCGAGGAAUCCUGGAGACCCUCUACUGGGCAGGACGAGGGGGCGGGGGCGAGGGCCACAGCCCUGAAGGCGGGACACAGGCUGUCCUCCUGAGGGCAGGUGAGGAGGGUCACAGGCAGCAGCUGCACAAGUCUUUGGUUCCCGUAGACCUGCUGCCUCCACAGGGCCCGGACUCUGUCUCGUGUUACCAGCUGUGCAGUAAUUAAGGAGCAAUGCUGGCGGUGGGGCGAGCCAGUCACAGAGCCUGACGCAUGGGGGAUGAAGCUGGGGCCAGAGACUCUGAUGACCAACUCUCUCGGCUGGGGCCUGGACACACGCUUCUGUUUAAUGUGCUGUAGCACAAGGUGUGUCGCCUUCCAGCAGAGGCGCUGACUCAGAGAGGAGUGACCUCUCCAACCUUCCGUGAAUCAUUAGAACAUUGCAGAGUGACAGCGGGAGCUCCAGUGAUUAAACACGGAAGUGAGGCUGGCCAGAGAUCACAAGAGGCCCAACACCCAGACAGUACGGAACCUGGGUGGGCACGUCGUCCGUUUUGUCAUCCACAGACCAGAGGCUUCUGCACUUCUGAUGACUCCAUCCAGAUCUCCAGCUGGUCCUGUGGACCCAUCCAUCCAGAAGCAGACUCCAUGAGCACAAGGACCAUUUUCCACACCCCUAUGAUUGCACCCCAUCCAAUCAGCAGCACCCACUCCCUAGUCCCCACCUCCCUCCAGAUUAUCCUUGAAAAACCCUAGCCUCUGAAUUUUGGGGGAGAUUGACUUAAGUAAUAAAACUCCAGUCUCCCACUUAGCCAGCUCUGUGUGACUUAAACUCUUUCUCUAUUGCAAUUCCCAUCUUGGUAAGUCAGCUCCACCUGGGCAGCGGGCAAGAUGAACCCAGGGGGCGGUCACAGUGACGCCUUUGCUUUCUGAUGGUUUAAUGUACACAAGCUUUGUUUCAUGCACAACAUUACGAAAAGUAUUGUAUUAAAUUAACUUCAGGCUAUGUGUAUAAGGUCUAUAUAAAACAAACACAUUUUGUAUUUUGACUUAGGUCCCACCCCCAAGAUAUCUCAUUAUAUAUACACAUAUAUAUAUUCCAUAUUCUGAAAAAAUCAAAAAUCCAAAAUAUUUCUGGUCUCAAGCAUUUUGGGUAAAAGAUACUGAACCUGUACAGGAGAUGAAGAGAACCUGCAGCUGGAAAGACACCUCAGAAAUAUAGUCAUAUAAUUCCAAGUCUUUAUUUUUCAGAUGAGUCGACUGGGGAAAGGGCAGCCUGGCUGAAGGUCAACAGCAGGGCUUUUUAAUCAGAUCCAUGCUGCCCCCAAAUAACGAAACCCUGGGUCAGCUUCUUUUCCAAAUCUUGAGAAUACAGGCUCCUGGGCCGCGAAAUACAAUUGAAAAAGUUUCUCUUCUAACAAAGAGUGCGAUGUCUUGAGUACUUUAACGUACUGUUUUCUGAAAUCCCACUGUUUGCUGGGAGGCUUUGGUGUGGGGUGUCUGAUACGUUAUAUAAAGAAUCUCAUGCGGCCCCAGGAAAAAGCACAUAUAUCCACGUUUUUGUUCGAUUUUGUAAAGCUUAUUGUGUAAGAUCAUAUUUUUGUUUUUAAUAAAGAACAAAAAUGAAGCUUCAA